GGCGUCCCCAUGACCUACAGGCUACAACUGAAAUAGGUUCUUGCAGUGCAGAAUCUCAAGCCAGCGGUCGUUGAGGUUUAUGACUACUAUCAGCCAAGUGAUGUGUUUGAGACCACAUACAUGCCUCCCUGUCCGUGAUUGUGCUUCAUUUCUGGCUCUAGGAUACAUUAAUUAAAUAACUCCUUUUAAAAACCA